rnacentral:rRNA from 1 species
UACAGAGGGUGCAAGCGUUAAUCGGAAUUACUGGGCGUAAAGCGUGCGUAGGCGGUUCAGCAAGUCGGGUGUGAAAUCCCUGGGCUUAACCCAGGAACUGCAUUCGAUACUACUGAGCUGGAGUAUGGUAGAGGGUAGUGGAAUUCCGGGUGUAGCGGUGAAAUGCGUAGAUAUCCGGAGGAACACCAGUGGCGAAGGCGGCUACCUGGACCAAUACUGACGCUGAGGCACGAAAGCGUGGGGAGCAAACAGG